ACUACCCUCGGGGAAAAUGACAACGCACGUUUUCACUACGCAUGGGCAUAAAUUCCUUACAUACAGCUGUCGUCUGCGUUUUCUAGACUUGCCGGUUUCCUUCUCCGAAGGAUGUUGUUGGUCUUAUAAUGCUAAAAUUCAAGGUCAUCUUGUUUUCGAAAUCGAUUGUUUUGGCUUUGCCGUUCACAAGAUGAGAUACCAGGACUUGUGACUCGUCACCAGCUACAUAAUUACGUUAUAGGUCUACUGUACAGUAGUUCUAGUACAUUCUACUGAGUAGGACUGAACUGUUCUGUGCAUAUUUAAUAUAUAGGCACUAUGUUGUUACUAUGUUGACUAAUCAAUUGAUUUGGAACUGUUUUUUACUUGUAAUUGUGCACAAUUACAUAUACAACUUAUAGUAACUUUACUGUUAUCUCAUGAUCAAUGACUGUAAGUGGUGUAUAACAAUGGCCGAUGAAUAUCCAUGGCAGACCUAGGCUACAGCACAGGUAUUUCGAAGGUGUAUGAGAUAGACGUCACAAUAGAUGCAAUAAGAGAGUUUUCUUAUGCCACAUCUUCAUCAUAUGCAUUGACAAAAUGCACAAAGAAUUUUGGUUUAUUCAAUCCAGGGGCUGAUCAUAAAGAAGAUCAUUUUAUCAGGUUUACUGAUGACAACAAACUCAUUCACGCCAGAAGACUUUCUCCUGAUGGGAUUCCAUUAAUGAAUGUUGGCCUGAAAUUAUUUGAAUAGUCAUCAAGGACCAUCACAUAGAAAGUCAGCCAAGAGUUCCAACUAAACUGAUGCAGACCAUGGUUAUAGCCAAAUACAAAGCAAGCGCAUGCUUACGGUAACGAAGAAAAGAGGAUGUCUGGCAUCAAUCCUGUUACGGGAAAUUAUUUUCUUUCCAGAGUACAAGGGGCGAACUUGAUAAUGUCCCGAAUAUGUGGUCGCAAUUUCGGCAGAUGCCGAUCGGCGUUAAUUCCUGCUGGUUUGGAAGCACCAGCAAACAAGAUGGCGAUGUGCUCAACCAAAAGAUUAGAUUAGAAUAAAUAAAUAAAUAAAUAAAUAAAUAAAUAAAUAAAUAAAUAAAUUAAAUAAAUAAAUAAAUAUGUUUUGGUCUAUGUUGGCCAUAUUGCAACUGAGCCGCUUUGCUUGAAUGUAGCUAUAUAGGUGCCGGCAACAAACUCGAAACCGGCAAAUGGCAAGCUAGAAUCAAGUCAUCUUCACUUACCAAGGGUUACUCUACGUUAAGCUAAUGAACGAAGCCAAGGGUGAAAUGGAGCCUAGCGUAGAUGGAAUCAGGUUCGCCCAAGGUAUCUAGUUCUGCUGGCCCUCAUUUCACUCUGACCUAUCUGAGGACACCCCUAUCGGUGAAGAAAACUUCGGGCGGCACGAAUUAGGCUACUCCAAAAAAAAACCC